rnacentral:rRNA from 1 species
UACGGGGGGGGGCAAGCGUUGUUCGGAUUUACUGGGCGUAAAGGGCGCGUAGGCGGGCGCGACGAGUCACUUGUGAAAUCUCCGGGCUUAACCCGGAGCGGCCAAGUGAUACUGUCGUGCUCGAGUGCGAAAGGGGCCACCGGAAUUCUCGGUGUAGCGGUGAAAUGCGUAGAUAUCGAGAGGAACACCUGCGGCGAAGGCGGGUGGCUGGGCCGACACUGACGCUGAGGCGCGAAAGCCAGGGGAGCGAACGGG